CAUACUUUACAAAUAUCAGUGAGUUUCAUCAUUGUACACCUCUUCGCAAAUUCAUUUUUAUUAGCAAAUUUAUUUCAUUUAUCUGUAAAUCUAUCAUCAAGCUUCAAACUCAUCAAUGGUGGCAACAUAUUCAGCAGUAGUUACAUUCUUCUACCUAUGGACUAUAAUCCAAAGAUAUCAGACUUUGGCUUGGCGAAAUCGGGUCCCUCGGGUGGAGAUUCACAUGUUACUGGUCUGGGGAAUUUUGUGUUGGAAUUUGUUGAUAUCCUUUUCGGGAAAAGAGAACUAGAGGAAAAAAGAGCAAGAAAAUGCAUGUGAAAAAACGUGGCAGACCCAACCCGCGCCUGACCAAAGAGGUUGCAGAGGAGCGCAAGGCGGUGAAGUGAUUGCGGAAUGCUGCUCGUCAGGACCCACGACAACUCAAAUCGGUAUCCAGAGCAGGGGAGUUUAACUUGUCACAAAUUUAAAAGGAUUAAAAGCAGUAUGGUCAAUUGUUCGAAUUGCAAAUGGAGAUGCUUCUGCAAUGAGUGUUUCAGGCAGUUUAAAUUUGAUAGUGCUGACAGCAGUCUUGAGUUGGGCCUGAGGUUUUUACGAUAACACAAGCUGCAAUAUUGCUCCAACAUCUUCUAUGUAUGCGGCGGCGGCUGAUAGUAAAGAGGGGGAUUUUGGGAAUUCCCCUGGUGGUGGUUUAUUUUAUGGUGAUCCAGCCUGGCGAUCAUCAUCGCCAGAGCUUGAUGGUUCUGGCCUGUUUGCUAACGAACUCUGCAAUGCUGUUUCUGAUGUUACCCCUAGAGAUGCUGUUCAUUAUGCUGAAGGAUGUAGUGUUAAUAAUAUGUCAACAAGAGAAGUUUGAUGAAAGCCUACAGCAGACCACGAGGGUAACCCUGCAGUCGAUAGUCUGAUUUAUCACUGAAGAAAUUAAAAGAAUUUAUUGCUCAACUUCAACAACUGCAAAAAGGAAAGAGUGAGAGGUUGAAAAAAGUCCUUGAGUCUGUGACCACAGUUCAUGAUCUUUGUGCUGUCCGCGAAAUAGACUUUUUUAGUGUUAUGACUGAAGUCCAUCCAAGCCUUAUGAUUCUACUGGUGUGCAAUCUAAAAGCAUUAGCAAUGACAUUUUAUCUCGGCAAGAAGUCUUGGCCCUGCAAGAGGAUAGGUAACAAAGUUUGCAUAAGGUAACAAAUAUUUAUACACAACUAUAUUAGCUGCAAUCUUUUUUCAAUGUAAAUUUAUUACUUCAUGAAUUACAAUCAUUUUUAUUAGUGCCCGUGAUGUUUUUUAAUGUUUUUUUUCUUUUUUGGUCCGCGUAUGUUUUUGUCUCAUCUCUUUCUAUGUGAUCAUGAAUAAGUUUAGACGAAAACUUUGGUUGUAUUUAUAGAGUUAAAAUAGAAUUAAUCUUAUAAAAUGUAGAUUUAAAGCUAGAAUUUAGUAAAAGAAAAUUACAGACGUCCAUAAAAUGACUGCCAAAUAUUUUGCACUUUUGGCAUGAAUAAUAUAAAAAGACUAAAUCGGCAGGUUGUACCUUAGAUCUAAUAGUGCUUUUCCAAACUUGAUUGAUUCAUUAAUUCUUUAUCAAGCUCACGAAGCUGGGGGGUUAAUUAAAGCACACAUGUUCUUAUAGUUGAACUCCUUAUUGACUUUGCACUCAGCGCCUUUAGGCUUAACUGAGUACGACACAAAUGAUAUAUUAAAUCAUGAAGUUCCUGACAUGAUUGUCAUAAUUGGUUUGUUAAUAUAUUUUUUUUGAUUUUAAAUACACUUCAUAUACAAUCUUCUUUUAAAACUAUAUAGUCAAUUUUCAGCCCGGUGGUGGGCAGAGAUAAUAAACAUCCAAUUAUUCUUUUCUCUAUUAAAAUUCUUGUAUUGAUAAAUUAUUAUAAGGUUUGAAUAUGUAACUCCCAUUGCAAGUGAGUGCAAAGAUGUGGAAAAUAAUAAAUGACUUGUAAAAAUGUAUGCUAAGUGCUAACGAUCUUGUCAGAGCCGAGGUACUUUUUGACACCGGAAGCAAUGGAAACAAGUAGAUCAGGGUUUAAUACUCGCCACUCUAAAGAAUCCACCCUAGAGAUAAGAGCAAACUCGCCACCCAAAGGAACCCAACCCCAGGGAUAAGAGUAUAAAGAUCAAUAUUCUUUUAACAAAAGAAAUAUUUAAUUUUUGUAUUUUCAAUUUCAGCUUAUAGGUACAUAGUUGUGAUAGUCUUUAUAUAGACUUGGCCAGAAACAUCCCUUCUGCCAUAGGUAGGUGCAAUGAACAUGAGAUUAAUGCUAAUCUUUUGAUAUUCUUUGACUUGGACUACUAAAAGAUAUAACUGAUAUCAUUCCUAGGGACUUGCUAAUACAUGAACUAGCCUAGUAAAUGAUAUGAAUACCAGAAAAUAAUCUCAAUGCAAAUACUUUAACUCAGAAUGUACCCUGCUGGACAGCUUGACCACCUCUGACUAAAAAUGAGAUAACUUCUUGUAGAAAAUGUAUUUCUUUGAUCCGUAAAAUUUGUUGAAAACUAGACUCCAAUACCUUUCCAAUGAUAUAUCACACUGCACCCAGAACGUCCUAGAUAAAAUCAGUUUAUUCUUCGAAGUUGACUCAAAAUAUCCUCAGAAUUCUGAAUUUUCUGCGUCAUUCUCCCCGGGUUGAAAAGGACUCGUCCUCGAGUCUUUAUUGCCGUCAUUAUCUAUGUAAGGUGAGAGAUCGGACACAUUAAAUGUAGCAGACACACCAUAGUUACCAGGCAGUUCAAUCUUGUAAGCAUUUUCACCAAUUCUUUGAAGUACUUUAAAUGGGCCAUCAGCUCUAGGACUUAACUUUCCGGAUCUUCCUCUAGGGAAGCGUUCUUUACGCAGAUGAAUCCAUACCAGAUCACCCUCUUUGAAGACAGCUGGUUUUCUGUACUUGUCUGCUUGCUUCUUAUACUUCUCAUUUUGCUUCGCUAUUUUUAAUCUGACAUGCUCAUGUAGCUUCUUGAUGUGAUCAGCUCUAUCAGCUGCAUCUCCACUGAAAUGACUAGUAGCUGGUAGCAGAGCUAGGUCCAAUGGACUAGAAGGAUUCUGACCAUAAACAACCUCAAAAGGACUUUUUCCCGUUGUCUGGCUUAUUGACCGAUUGUAUGCAAACUCGGAUUGGGCUAACGUCAGAUCCCAUUGGCGUGGAUUGUUACCAACUAAACUCCUCAAUAGAUUUCCGAGACUCCUAUUAACAACUUCAGUUUGUCCAUCCGUUUGUGGAUGAUUGGACGAACUAAAUUGCAGAUGAGUUCCCAGCUUCUUCCAUAAUGUACGCCAAAAGUGACCCGUAAACUUUGUGUCACGAUCUAAAGUUAUUGUCUUUGGAACACCAUGGAGUUUCACAAUCUCUCUGAAAUAUAAGUCAGCCACAUGAGAAGCAUCUAAUGUUUUAGAACAUGGCACAAAGUGAGCCAUUUUUGAAAAUCGAUCAACUACUACCAUUAUAGAAUCUUUGCUUCGUUGAGUUCUUGGUAACCCAACCACAAAAUCUAAACUCACAUCUUCCCAAGGUGCAAGAGGAACCGGAAGUGGGGUGUAUAAUCCUGUAUUUUGUGAACGACUCUUUGCAAUGCGGCAAACUCGACAUCCUUCUACAUGGCGUUUUACAUCACGUUCCAUCCUUGGCCAAUAAAAAUUUUCUUGGACAAGAGCAAGGGUUUUGUCUCUGCCAAAAUGCCCAGCAAGUCCUCCUUCAUGAGCUUCAAAGAUUAUAGCUUUCCUCAAAGAACAAGCGGGAAUGCAAAGACGAUUAUUUUUGAAAAGAAAACCAUCUUGAAUAACAAAGUCACGAAUUGGCCUAUUGGAAGAAUGUUCCCAAAUCUGACCAAAACAAGGAUCAUCUUUGUACAGCUCCAUUAGAAUAUCAAAUCCCAGCACCUUUACUUGCAUAGUGGACAUCAAUGAUCUUCUUCGACUUAAAGCAUCAGCUACUUUGUUCAGAGCACCAGAUUUAUGCUUGAUAGAAAAGGUAAAUGAUUGAAGAAAUUCCACCCAUUUGGCAUGUCGAGCACUUAACUUCUGCUGAGAGUUGAUAUACUUCAGCGCCUCAUGAUCAGAGAAGAGAAUGAACUCCUUAUGUAAAAGAUAAUGUUGCCAAUGGUCCAAUGCUCGAACAAUAGCAUAGAACUCUUUAUCAUAAGUUGAAUAAUUUUUACGACCAUCGUUCAAUUUUUCACUGAAGUAGGCAAUAGGUUGUCCUUCUUGGCUAAUAACAGCACCAAUUCCCACAUUUGAGGCAUCACAAUCAACUUCAAAUACUUUAUUAAAAUCUGGUAGUGCGAGAAUAGGAGCUUCAGAUACCUUUUUCUUUAGGAGUUCAAAGCUCUUUUGUCCUUCUUCUGUCCAAUGAAAGCUCCCACCUUUCAAACAUUCAGUGAUAGGUGCAAUAAUAGAGCUGAAAUUCCUUAUGAAUCGCCGAUAAAAAGAUGCUAGGCCAUGAAAGCUCCGGAUGUCAUGAAGAGAGGCUGGUGUAGGCCAGCAAGUUAUUGCUUCAACUUUAUUGUUAUCCAUCUUUAAUCCAUCAGCUGAGACGACGAAUCCAAGGAACACAAGGCUUUCUGCAAGGAAGUGGCACUUCUUCAGAUUUGCAUAUAAUUUUUGCUCUCUUAGCACCUGAAAAAUGGCACGGAGAUGUUCCAAAUGUUGUUUUUCAUCACGACUAUAGAUCAGAAUGUCGUCAAAAUAAACUACCACAAAUUUUCCGAUGAAUGGUUUAAAUAUGUCAUUCAUGAGUCUCAUGAAUGUUGAAGGAGCAUUAGACAUUCCAAAAGGCAUAACCAUCCAUUCAUACAACCCAUCUCUUGUCUUGAAAGCCGUCUUCCAUUCAUCUCCGGGCCUUAUACGAAUUUGGUGAUAACCGCUGCGUAGAUCGAUUUUGCUGUGCACUUUAGAGCCUGAAAGUUGGUCAAUCAGGUCAUCAAAACGCGGAAUAGGAAAACGGUAUUUGAUAAUAAUUUUAUUGACUGCUCUACUAUCAACACACAUCCGCCAUGAACCGUCUUUCUUGGGUACAAGGAGUGCAGGGACUGCACAAGGACUCUUACUUUCUUUAACCAUUCCUUUAUUCAAGAGAUCAUCAACUUGCCUCUGUAAUUCUUCAUGUUGUUGUGGACUCAUUCUAUAGGCUGCUUUGUUAGGCAAUGAGGCUCCCGGAACCAGAUCAAUGCAAUGUUGUAUAUCUCUCAUUGGAGGCAGCCCAGGUGGUAUUUCUUCAGGAACUACAUCUGAAAAUUCAAGAAGUAGAGGCUGCACUGGUGCUGGAAUAUCAUAUACCUCUUCAUUUUCUUUAAAGACAACCAAGGCAUAAGUUUCCUCGGACUCAUGAACAGCCCUGCAAAUUUCUGCUCUUGACAGUAGAUUGUUUCCUUCCCCUUUACAAGGUUUAGGAAUGUUGUUCAUUUUUGAAGGGCCCAAAAUAACCUUAACACCAUCUUUAACAAAAGUAUAGGUAUUUUUAUAACCAUCAUGGUGAGUCCUUCUAUCAUACUGCCAAGGUCUACCAAGAAGUAAAUGACAUGCAUCCAUAGGAACAACAUCACAUAAUACUUCAUCUUUAUACUUACUACCAAUAGAGAAUUGCACCAAACAUUGUUUAUCAACUUUUACCUCAUUGCCUUUGCGAAACCAUGAUAGCUUAUAAGGACGUGGAUGCUUCUCCGUCUUCAAAUUUAAUUUUUGAACCAUGUCGUUGGACACCACAUUCUCACAGCUUCCUCCAUCUAUGAUGACAUUGCACACCUUUCCUUGUGAAGUGCAUUUUGUAUGGAAUAUGUUACUACGAAGCCAAGAAUCUUCUUGAGCUUGCAUACUAUUCAAACUCCUUCGAAUCACCAAAGAUUCUCCCUGAUCUUCAUAAGUAAUCUCCUCAUCCUCUUGGCCACUUCCUUCAGCUUCCCAUGGAGUCUGUUCUUCAAUUUCUUCCUCAAAAAUGGUUAUGACUUUAAGGUUUGGACAUUCAGAGGCUAUGUGUCCAUAACCUUGGCAUUUAAAACACUUUAUUGAAGCUUUGGUGCCACUUCCCCGACUAGUAUUGGCUGUGCUAUCAUUCUUUUUGGAUGAUUUCAGAUCUGACCCCUUAUCAGUAGGAGGAGAUUUUCUUACGACACUUGAAUGGGUUGUACCAGAAGCUUGAUUUGAGAACCGAUUAUUGCGUCCCUUUGGCUUUUGUUGUUUCUCCACCUUAAGAGCAAGUUUACAUACAUCUUGAUAAGUCCAGAAAGGUUGCAGAUUAACGACAUCACUGAUUUCCUCCUUUAGUCCACCAAGAAAUCGAGCAAUGGUUUGCUCCUCUGGUUCUACCACCUCGCAGCGCAUCAUGAGAUUCUCAAAUUCUGUCAUAUCAUCUUCCACGGACAGAUUUCCUUGUUUAAAAUUAUGAAAUUUGAGAAAAGCAUCUUGCUUGUAAUUGUCUGGCAAAAACUUUUUUCGCAGCUCUUUCUUCAUCUUUUCCCAAGUGCAAAUCUUAGCCUUUCCAUCACGAACUCAUUGCUUCUUAAGAUGUUCCCACCAUAAGGAGGCAUAUUUCUUCAAUUUCACCGCCACUAAUUUAACCUUUUGUCGAUCAUGCACAUCAUUGUAUUCAAAAACUAUUUCCACCGUAUUAAGCCAAUCAAUAAAUUCAUCUGGAUGGUUUCUUCCUUCAAAAUCUGGAAUUGUGAUUUUCACAUUGUAAGCACCUUGAAAAUUGUUGAAUUCUCUACGAGGUCGUCUAGGAGCAGAUGUAUGACUUGAGUGAUCAUCUGAUUCUUCAUGAAAGGGAUUGUAGUCCUCAUCAUCAGGUGUUGAUGAGCCAUUUUCUGAGUUAUGACUGCCUGUGUUAUGUCCUCUGCCUGCUCCACGUGCAAGCUGUUGUUGUAGCUCCUCUACUUGUCUUCUCAACUCCUCUAAUUCAAUAUCACGUACAUUCCGUCGACGUGGAGGCAUGGCUCUGAUACCAAAUUGACACCGGAAGCAAUGGAAACAAGUAGAUCAGGGUUUAAUACUCGCCACUCUAAGGAAUCCACCCUAGAGAUAAGAGCAAACUCGCCACCCAAAGGAACCCAACCCCAGGGAUAAGAGUAUAAAGAUCAAUAUUCUUUUAACAAAAGAAAUAUUUAAUUUUUGUAUUUUCAAUUUCAGCUUAUAGGUACAUAGUUGUGAUAGUCUUUAUAUAGACUUGGCCAGAAACAUCCCUUCUGCCAUAGGUAGGUGCAAUGAACAUGAGAUUAAUGCUAAUCUUUUGAUAUUCUUUGACUUGGACUACUAAAAGAUAUAACUGAUAUCAUUCCUAGGGACUUGCUAAUACAUGAACUAGCCUAGUAAAUGAUAUGAAUACCAGAAAAUAAUCUCAAUGCAAAUACUUUAACUCAGAAUGUACCCUGCUGGACAGCUUGACCACCUCUGACUAAAAAUGAGAUAACUUCUUGUAGAAAAUGUAUUUCUUUGAUCCGUAAAAUUUGUUGAAAACUAGACUCCAAUACCUUUCCAAUGAUAUAUCACACUACACCCAGAACGUCCUAGAUAAAAUCAAUUUAUUCUUCGAAGUUGACUCAAAAUAUCCUCUGAAUUCUGAAUUUUCUGCGUCACUUUUAGAUAUAUUUCAUAAACAAAAUGAUAUCAUGUAUACACAUUUUAGAUUACUUCAUUGUGUGUGAUCCAACAUGUUAUUCUGUGUCUUUUUUGUAAGAUUGUAGUAAUUAUUUUAAAUUAUGUUUGUCACAUUUUGUUCCACAUUUGUUAUAAUUUAUUUGAUAUCACGACUUUCUUUACACGAGAUUUGCUAUGAUCAUAUGCGAUAUUGAUAGCCUGAUUAUUGUGCGAACAUUAUUACAGAUAAGUAUUUUUUUCCUUCCGCUUUCUAGAACACAAGGCAAUAAUAAGAGGCAGAGAUAUGUGUAAAAUGUAAACUUUUAUUGAAUCUUUCUUUGUGAUACAAUGUUGCUAAUAUAGUUCAUGUAUGUUAUCUUUCACAGAUAAUGGAAAGAUAAUGGAAGAGCUAGAGGUCUAUGUUCUUUUGUGAAUCACAUGAGCUUGCUUUUGGAUGAUAAGUCUAGAAUUAUUUCAAAUAAAAAUCACGCGCCAGUGAUAAAUGGAUAUAGGGUUGCGGGUUUGUGAAUUAUAUUAUUUUGUGGUUUGUAGAAUAUCCAUACUUAGUUGCAUUUAAUUGUUUGUAUUAUGAACAUGCACUAAAAUUUUGUUUAGCUUCUAAUUAAAAAUUCUUAUUCACACGGAAAGUUUUAGCCAUUUUUCUGACUUUUUUUUCCGGAGCUGGUUUUCAAUAUAUAUGCAAAUAUACCCUUGUUUUUUACACAAUUCCUGCAUUGCCAUUGCCUGUUUGUUUUCUUCUGAUCUCUAACAGUUUCGAUUUAGCUCAGUUGUUCUCUCCUUGUCUGCGAUUUAUGUUUAGUGCUGGGUUGCCUCUCCUCGCUUGGUUUUUUUCUCUUCGUUUGGUACACCUUCUUCACACUGGAUGGCUCCCCUAAAAAACGUAGCAGACCAAAGCUGUGCCUGACCUAAGAGGUGGCAGAGGAGCUCAGGGCGGUGAAGCAAUUGCAAAAUGCUACUUGUCAGGACACAGGACAAAAGUUAACAUCACUUCUGCGAUUGGUUUUGUCAUUGUAUAUUGGAAUUCAUUGGGAACAACGCUUGGUUACUGAAUUUCUACUUUGUCAUGCUUUUUCUCUUUGUGCUGAAGUUGUAGACAGAUUAAUGAUGGACUUGUACAUUGGUUGGAACGUCCUCAUCCACGGAAGUACAUGGUUUUAAACUUUGCCAAAAUUUCAUUCAUUUUUUUUAGUCUCUAUUCCCUGUCAAAUGCUAACCCUCCCGGUUUAUUUAGAUUGUGAGUAGGCAUAUACUCCUUUACUCAGCCUUUGAUGGAAUCAGCGGUGCAAUCUUUUGGUGGUGUUUUUAAUCCUUGUCUCCUUCUACUCCGGCGGCGAUUAUAGUUUAAACAUUCUUCAGAGGUCUCUAGCAUUGUUGUGUUGGUAAAAGGAAUUGGAUUGUAAGAACUGCAGUUGUGGCAAAGGAUUACAUUAAAACGGCAAAGAAGUUUGACAUUUCAAGGACUUAACUUAUUUAUCAGGAACCUGAGUAAUAGUUAGAAAUUUGCAUUGAGGUCUGCUUGGAAUUGCAGUGCAAAAAUAUAUGUUCCCUCUUUCAGCCGCACUAAGCGAAACAAAUUGGGCAAAGCUUGUGUACAUCUUAUUGGGACUCUUGUGGUUUGUUUUUGGUAUGUCAUGGUCCAAUCAGAGUACAUACAAUAUAAGGAUCGAAGCCAGUCGAUACAUACGAAUAAAGGAUCUGGUAAAAAAAUAACUUUAUAGGAAAAGAUAGGACAAAUGAUGCGAUAGAAAGAAUCGUGACUCUUGUGGAGGUCAUAAAGAAAUAAUUAUUCGGUAAGUUUCUUAGCAAAUAUUCUACAAUAUGCAUUUAAUCAUAAUUUGUGCAGUACAUAUGUUUUUAUGAUCUUUACAGUUAGUCUGUUGAGUGAUGGAUGGAGUGUUCCAAACAAACACGCAUCUCCUGAGGAACAGGUAAACAUGGUAAUGAAAUUCCAAUUGGUGCAUUAUCAACCCGUCUUGGUAUACUCAUGAUCUAUGAAAUUGAUGUUCACGGCCAUAACAAUGCUUAAGUUGCAACAAUAUUUCCACACAACACUGACUUAGGAGCAACUAGGCAAGUAAAUGGUACGUAGAUGUUACUUGGUCUGUGAAACGAUGAAUAUAUUAGAACUGAUAGCUUGCCUUAUAGUAUAAUCAAGACUCCUCAUAAAAAUUUAAGUGAAAAAAGGAUAUUGUUUGGGGCUUUGUUGGCAGUAGAAUUUUGUGUGUGUUAUAUGUUAACCCAAGAUUUAUUCUACCAACCACUUCUGGUCAUUAACCUCAAUUGUGUGUUCUUCAAAAGUCUAGACCUGCUAGAAUAAUGAAAUUUGAGAAGAUUGCAAAAUAAGUUUAUAUAAAGGUUUUUUAUUGUACAUCUAGAGAUGCAUAAUAUUCUUAUGCAGGGACCCUCAACUGGAGAAAAAGAUUGUUGCAGCUACUGCUCUUGAAGUGAGAGCUACAAGAAUACCUUAUGCCUUUGCACCUUGUAUUGUGGUACAUAAUUGUGGAAAAAUUUAAUUCCAGAAAUCAGAAUACUUCUUUCACUUGGUUUGGUCAGCACUUCUUAGAAAUAUAUUUAGUUAAGCCAUUUUCUACAAAAUGACCUGUGCCUCUCACACUCUUGUUUAUCCUGUUCAAGAUAAAGAAGAUAUAUGCAUUAAUGAUGAAGCUUUCAUGAUUAUGAGUCAUCCUUAGCAGAGAAAGAUGCAGAGUCCUCCACUUCUAUAAAUGCUUUUCGUCUCAUUAGCAUGGCCUCAAGCCUGGAUCUUUCAGGCUUCUUCGAGAAAGAGGACAUUUCUGAGAGGACCAUCAGAUUUACAUCUCAUCAUUCUCAAAAAAAAUUGAUUGAGGGGAUUGGAUUCAUUGUUACACAGAUGAGUUUUUUAUUCCGGAAGAGAAGUGGACAGAAACGCAAGACUUUUGACGAGAAUUUUUUGAGAAAGGACACAUCAAGUCUCUACAAGUUGGUUAAUGCCGCACACUACUUGCAGUUGAGACCAUUGUAUAAAAAAACUUGUUCUGCUAUUGCGCGAAAGAUUGAGGAUGAAUCUCUUGAGGAGAUAUGCCGUUUAUUUAAUUUUCCCAAUUUAUUCUUACUAGAAAAAAUUAGACCGACUAUAUACAUUUCAGCAAUCUUCCAACCACAUUUUCAUAACAGACUUGUAAAGUUUUUAAUAUCAUGGAAUUCUUGAGUUGAAA